rfam:Myotis lucifugus cont2.43312, whole genome shotgun sequence.
GGCGGUUCUCAGGUUAUGCACCCCGGAAAUGGGCUCCCUCCUCUCUGGUUUCAGGUGCAUCACCUGAGAACUGCA